rnacentral:rRNA from 1 species
GACGAACGCUGGCGGCGUGCUUAACACAUGCAAGUCGAACGGGCCUUGUCCCCUUUUUUUUGGGGGUGGGGUUAGUGGCGAACGGGUGAGUAACACGUGAGUAACCUGCCCCUCACUUCUGGAUAACCGCUUGAAAGGUUGGCUAAUACGGGGUGUUCUGGCCUGCUCGCAUGGGUGGGUUUGGAAAGAUUCGACCGGUUUUGGUUGUUUUGGUGGGGGAUGGGCUCGCGGCCUAUCAGCUUGUUGGUGGGGUGAUGGCCUGCCAAGGCUUUGACGGGUAGCCGGCCUGAGAGGGUGGGCGGUCACACUGGGACUGAGACACGGCCCAGACUCCUACGGGAGGCAGCAGUGGGGAAUAUUGCACAAUGGGCGCAAGCCUGAUGCAGCGACGCCGCGUGAGGGAUGGAGGCCUUCGGGUUGUGAACCUCUUUCGCCAGUGAAGAAGGUCCUGCUCUUUGUGGUGGGGUUGACGGUAGCUGGGUUAAUGAAGCGCCGGCUAACUACGUG